AAUAUUUUUUUACUUUUUAUCAGCACGCUAUGAAGACUUAGAACAAACAGAUGUCAGAGUGCAGUACUUAUGGGAAGCCCUGAUGAACUUUACCAAUGAGGAUCGCAGCAGGUUUUUGAGGUUUGUGACUGGCAGAAGUCGUCUUCCUGCUCCAAUUUACAUCUUCCCAGACAAACAAGGAUCCGAAACCACAGAUGCACUUCCUCAAUCUUCCACAUGUUCCAGCACCCUUUAUCUACCCAAAUACCCAAGUGCUAAAGUUUGUGAAGAGAAGCUUCGCUAUGCUGCA